AGUAAUGUCUGGGAAACUGCCUGAUGGAGGGGGAUAACUACUGGAAACGGUAGCUAAUACCGCAUAACGUCGCAAGACCAAAGUGGGGGACCUUCGGGCCUCAUGCCAUCAGAUGUGCCCAGAUGGGAUUAGCUAGUAGGUGGGGUAACGGCUCACCUAGGCGACGAUCCCUAGCUGGUCUGAGAGGAUGACCAGCCACACUGGAACUGAGGCACGGUCCAG
rnacentral:rRNA from 1 species